GUGCUCUAUUUGACACAUAGUCUAAAACUAAAAUGAUACAUAAGAGAUUAGCUUGGCCCAUGCACAAAAUGAUACAAAAUUUUGGAUCUGCUCAAUAUUUUU